rnacentral:lncRNA from 1 species
AGCCGUGGGGGAGGGGAAAGGGCGCGCGGCCUCGGAUGCGCAGACCCUGGGCCGGCGACUCGGGGACCCUGCUCCCUCUUAGCUAAAAAUGACGUCGGCGUUCAGCUCCUCCAACCUCACGUGGACAGGCGAGGGAACCGAGACCCAGAGAGGGCAGGGGACUUUGGCAAACUCACACAGCCCACCGCAGGCAACUGGAACUGAAACCCAGGACUCCGUCUCUUGCCAGUGAAAGUUAUGUUAGGAAGCAGUGAGGGGUCUAAAGCAGUAUGAAAGGCAAAGAGAAAAGGUGAUUGUUCCCUCUUGAAUGGCCCUUGGAAGCUGAGUAUCUGGAUUCACCCUCCCUAGGGAAUUUCCCGAUUGUCUUGCAGGCUUACACACUCAUCAAGAUGACAAAAAUAAUGACAGUAACACUUAUGUGGAACUUGACUUUUUCCCAGGUGCUGCUCUAAGCAUUUACUGUGUUUGUUUUACAGGAAGGAAGACUGUACACAGAGAAUAAAUAACUUGGCCAAGCCAUUCAGCUAGGAAGUUGUAGAUCCUAAAUUAAGAGUUCAAGGUCUUAAUGGCUACUCUAUGCGGCCUCUCAUAGUCUUUUCAAGGGUUUUGGAGAAGAAUAAAAGAUCAGGUAUGGCUUCUCCCUCCCCCAGCUCUCUAUUGUUCCCUAAAGGAUUAUUCAUUCGUUCAUUCAUUCCUACAUCCUCCCAUUUAUUCCAGUCAUCCACAGAUGUUUGAGUGGUUACAAUGUGCCAGCCUCCCUUCUAGGUACUGGAGAUAAAGUGGGACAAGAGAGGUGAGGUCUGGACCCUUGGCACUUUCACGAUAAAAUACACAGAUGAGUCAAUGGUGUUACUGGACCCUGUGAACUGAUGCUGUGAAGAGAGGCCAUUUAACACGGACUACGGGGAAUGGUGCCACAGGGGGCUCAGUGCUGCCCUUCACUCUCAGCAUUUUGCUCACUCAGCAUUGAUGACAGGAUGUCCCAAAAGUAACAAAAGAUGGGAGCCAGUCCUCUCAUAGCUGUUUCUUCAAUCAUCCCAUCAACAGCUCUUCAUUUAUUGAACUACCUUCCUUUUCCAAAGAGGUAAUGCUGAGAUCAGUCAGAAAGGCUUUCUGAGAAAACUGGCUUGGAUUUCUGGGUCUGUUGCAGUCAAUUCAAGAUGAACUGGCUUGUAUCAAUGAAGCGCUCAAUGCAGUUCACAAAACAGGCCUCAGCCCGACUGUCCAACUUUGGCCCAGGCUUGUCCAUGCACUUCUCCCAACAAAGUUCAGUCAUCUGGUGCACCAGCUGCUGGAAGCGCUGCUUUUGAGUCUCUACCUCAAUGAAAAUGCUGCAACUGCGGGUCCACUGCACCCAAACCCGCCGCAGAGGAAGAGCAGGAGGAAUCCAUCCCAGGACAACCAUGCUUGCAGAGACGAACUCCGCACCAACCUUCACGUGUCUCCACGACCUAGUUAAUCAAUUUAAAAUGAGGUCACUAGGGUGGGCCCCAAUCCAAUAUGACUGAUAACUUUAUAAAAAGGAGAGAUUUGGAUACAGAAAGAGACAGAGUGAAAACCAUGUGAAGAAACAUAGGAAAAGAUGGCAGCUACAAGCCAAGGAGAAGCUUGCAGUGUGUAUUCAUCUGUUCUCAUGCUGUUAAUAAAGACAUACCUGAGACUGGGUAAUUUAUAAAGGAAA